rnacentral:rRNA from 1 species
AGUGAACGCUGGCGGUAGGCCUAACACAUGCAAGUCGAACGGCAGCACAGUAAGAGCUUGCUCUUACGGGUGGCGAGUGGCGGACGGGUGAGGAAUACAUCGGAAUCUACUUUUUCGUGGGGGAUAACGUAGGGAAACUUACGCUAAUACCGCAUACGACCUACGGGUGAAAGCAGGGGAUCUUCGGACCUUGCGCGAUUGAAUGAGCCGAUGUCGGAUUAGCUAGUUGGCGGGGUAAAGGCCCACCAAGGCGACGAUCCGUAGCUGGUCUGAGAGGAUGAUCAGCCACACUGGAACUGAGACACGGUCCAGACGCCUACGGGAGGCAGCAGUGGGGAAUAGUAGACAAAGGGCGCAAGCCUGAUCCAGCCAUACCGCGUGGGUGAAGAAGGCCUUCUGGUUGUAAAGCCCUUUUGUUGGGAAAGAAAAGCAGCAGGUUAAUACCCCGCUGUUCUGACGGUACCCAAAGAAUAAGCACCGGCUAACUUCGUG